GGCACUGGAAGCCGCUGUAAGGUCUCCCCGGAGCCUGCUCUUCUCCAGGCUGAAGAACUCCAGCUCUCUCAGCCUGUCUUCCCAGGUGCUCCAGCCCUCUGAUCACCUUCAUGGCCUCCUCUGGACUCGCUCCAAAUUCAAGCUCUGAGGACCACUCCGAUACAAGUCUUUCAAUCAUAUCCCCUUGGCUGACGAUAGCCGCUACAGCCUGCCAGACUUGCCUCCAACAGAGUUUUUCUUGUGGAAGAUGAGAGGCACUACUAAAAGGUUGCGAUGCAGAAAAUCUUCAAAACAAAGCAUGAUUUAUUUUGUCAAAAGGUACUCAGCACUCAGACAAAUGGACUUAAAAUAGCAGAGACCAAGACAUACACUGUUACUGCUUGGCAUCACCUUCAGCCUCCAGGUAGAUGUGAUUCGACCUGGAUGUCCACCACUCUCUCAGGUACCUCGUUACACCUGCCCCAGACCUUGGCUCUCCACCAACCUGGGGCAGUUGCCUGUUCCUCUCCCCACCAAGUUACAACAGCCCAGUCUUCUACCAGAUUCUCCUCCUGCUCUUUCUCAGCAAGACAGCCCUGCUACUGCUAGUAGGACUCUGCAGCUGCAAUUUGCAGAUAUAAAUACAACUACUCUGUUCUAGUAUUUCUGGAGUGCCCUUUUUUCAGCCCCUUAUUUUACAUUUCUUGCCUAGUUUUUAUCUCUUCUCUGGUCCCCCUAUCUCCCUACUACCCAUUUCACUUCACAUGAUGGAACUCACUCCAAGGAGCCAGACAGACACUGUAAUAAUGCAAAAGAAUUCAGAGAUAGAGGAAUGGAUGUACUGGGCAGAGAGAAACCUUGGAUGAAUGCCUGCAGGCCAGGGACACAAGCAAAUCCUGGUAACAGUACAGCCUCUGCAUUCAAACCAGUGCUACUUCCAUCCCUCCUGCCCCCAGAGCUGGAAACUAUGAGCUUUAUUACCCACCCUGAGCUCUCUUCUUCUCUCUCUUCAUCCAGAAUACAGAAUUCCUCUCAGAAACUAGAUUAAAAUGUAUCUUUCAAGAGAAGACAUCAAUCUUAUCCUUCCCCUGUGGUGUUCACCCUACUGUAACUUCCCACAGGAAUCCUAUGAAAGGGCCAUUCUUUCUACCACAGAAACCUGCAACCGUAUUGUAAAUUCAACAGAGGUGAAAAAGGAAAGCAACAAAGCCUCAAAAUGCACAGCAGUGUUCAGGAGAUGCUGGUCAUGAAACAACAUGCCUGAAGAUCAAAGGAAUUGCUUUACCAGUUUUGAAUAGCACCUUGUCUACACUUCGAUUUUCAGAUUCAGCAUUUAGUGAUAUCUUCUCUUAUGUUAGCCAAGUCUUUUCUUACAAAGUAAUUUUCACUUUCUCACAACCCAAGGAAGUAGAGUUAAAAUAAACUAAAUGAAAUACCA